CAGCACCUCAAGUGGUCAGGAUGAUUAUUGGGCCUAAAGCAUCCGUAGCCGGCUUUGUAAGUUUUCGGUUAAAUCCAUGUGCUCAACGCAUGGGCUGCCGAAAAUACUGCAUGGCUAGGGAGUGGGAGAGGUAGACGGUACUCAGUAGGAAGGGGUAAAAUCCUUUGAUCUAUUGAUGACCACCUGUGGCGAAGGCGGUCUACCAGAACACGUUCGACGGUGAGGGAUGAAAGCUGGGGGAGCAAACCGGAUUAGAUACCCGGGUAGUCCCAGCUGUAAACGAUGCAGACUCGAUGAUGCAUUGGCAUAAUAGCCAGUGCAGUGUCGCAGGGAAGCCGUUAAGUCUGCCGCCUGGGAAGUACGUACGCAAGUAUGAAACUUAAAGGAAUUGGCGGGGGAGCACCACAAGGGGUGAAGCCUGCGGUUCAAUUGGAGUCAACGCCAGAAAUCUUACCCGGAGAGACAGCAGAAUGAAGGUCAAGCUGAAGACUUUACCAGACAAGCUGAGAGGUGGUGCAUGGCCGUCGCCAGCUCGUGCCGUGAGAUGUCCUGUUAAGUCAGGUAACGAGCGAGAUCCCUGCCACUAGUUGCUAUCAUUAUUCUCAGGAAUAGUGGGGCGAAUUAGUGGGACUGCCGUUGUUAAAACGGAGGAAGGAAGGGGCUACGGCAGGUCAGUAUGCCCCGAAACUCUGGGGCCACACGCGGGCUGCAAUGGUAGUGACAAUGAGUUCCAAACUCGAAAGAGAGUGGCAAUCUCUAAACGCUACCACAGUUAUGACUGAGGGCUGUAACUCGCCCUCACGAAUAUGGGAUCCCUAGUAACCGCGUGUCAUUACCGCGCGGUGAAUACGUCCCUGCUCCUU
rnacentral:rRNA from 1 species